rnacentral:piRNA from 1 species
UAUGGACUAGAUAAAUUUAUGUAC